CCCCCUGUGGCUCAGAUGGUAAAGCAUCUGCCUGCAAUGCAGGAGACCCUGGUUCAAUCCCUGGGUUGGGAA
rnacentral:tRNA from 1 species